rnacentral:rRNA from 1 species
GACAGAGGCCUCGAGCGUUAGGCGGAAUCACUGGGCUUAAAGCGUGUGUAGGCGGACCUCUAAGUACCUUGUGAAAUCCCAACGGCUCACCCGUGGAACCGCUGGGUAUACUGGGGGUCUUGGGCCACUCAGGGGCGACUGGAACAAGCGGUGGAGCGGUGAAAUGCGUAGAUAUCGCUUGGAACGCCGAAGGUGAAAACAGGUCGCUGGGAGUGCGCCGACGCUGAGACACGAAAGCCAGGGGAGCAAACGGG